CACUCUCACCGCCGCUCCUCCUCGCGUUGGCCGGCAACCGGAGCACCGAUUCACCUCUUUGUUGGUCACCGUCGCCUGAGAUCCUCUCUCUCCCUCUCGGCUCUGUUUUCUGUCUCACAAAAACCUAUACAGCUUCACAGUUUUUGAUUCGGCAAGCUCAAAACCCACAAAUUUCACUCCAUUCCUGUCGUCUUCGCUGCACAGUCCAAUUUCUUGAAAGGUAUACAAUAUCAGUACAAGAUGCAGCUGCAGAGCUUGCCUCGUGAUGCCUAGGCCGCCUCUUCUUUCUUCUGCACAGAACCCCUACCCUAAUCAGAAAGAUAUUCUUGCCCUUAAUUCAGCAUCCCCAAAUUUGUCAUCCUCAAUUACUACUACAGCAGUUCAACCGCCACUAUUGCCGUU